GAUGAACGCUAGCUACAGGCUUAACACAUGCAAGUCGAGGGGAAACGACAUCGAAAGCUUGCUUUUGAUGGGCGUCGACCGGCGCACGGGUGAAUAACGCGUAUCCCACCUGCCCAUCACUUGGGAAUAACCUUGCGAAAGUAAGACUAAUACCCACUGAUAUCCCACGAAGGCAUCGGAAUGUGAUUACAGAUUUAUCGGUGAUGGCUGGGGUUGCGUCUGAUUAGCUUGUUGGCGGGGGAACGGCCAACCAAGGCAACGAACAGUAGGGGUUCUGAGAGGCAGCCCCCCCACAAUGGAACUGAGACACAGACCAAAAUGCGACGGGGGGGAGCAGUGAGGAAUACGAGUGAAUGGGGGAGAACCUGAACCAGCCAAGUAGCGUGCAGAAAGACGGCCCUAUGGGUUGUAAACUGCUGUUAUAAGGGAAUAAAGGGGGUCACGUGUGACUUUUUGCAGGUACCUUAUGAAUAAGGACCGGCUAAGUCCGUG
rnacentral:rRNA from 1 species